UGGCUCUCUCUCUGGGGGUUUUGGUGGUAUAAACAGAGAAAGCGUUGUACUCGUUCAGAUGAGGCUCGAGGUAUGCCACAGGCAUCGCUGCAGCUAAAUGAGCUAAACAUUCUCCCAGAGCUGGCCUGUGUCUGAAAUUAACACACACAAACACAAGAAAAACCCCACAGUGAUUCAGUAACACAAACUGAACACACACUGAUGCAAGGCAGCUUAGUGUGACACAUCACAACUCAGAAAACGCGAGUCAGACUGAAAAGGUUUAAAAUACUUCAGACCUUUCGGCAUGAGGAGUUUUGACGGUACCGAGAGAGUAAAUGCUGCACAUGAUUCUGUAGCAGGACAUCUGCAGGUCAUCCACUAACACAUAAAAAAAAACUCGUUUCAUUUCCUCAGAUCUCAAACGCUAACAACUUUAUAUAUUUAGCUACGUAACUUAUAAAACUUAUAAAAGUUUUAUUUGAAAAAGUGUCUAGGAUGUCCAAUCAGGUUCCGCUCAGGAUUUUGGACCGAUUAACGCGAACGUCGCCCCGGUGUGAUUUAGAGCAGCUUACGUAUGACGUCGUCUCCGAACUGGUGCUGUGCGAUGUGAUCGAACAGCGAGGUGAGGACCGGCAGCAGGGCCACGGUAGUAUAGUUAAUAUUUUGAGAUACGCCCUUCACCGGCUAGACACAGAAAAGUAUUAGACACAAUAAACACACAAACAUUUAAACAUUAAAUUAUAUCCUAAUAAAACCAUGUAAUGUUUUAUUUUUGUUUUACACCCAGUACUACUCGCAGUGUGUGUAAGUGUGUUAAAUUUCCAGUGUAUAUUUUUUCAGCUUUUUUUUUACUCUAAUUAAAUGAUAUUGAGCAGGGGGCUACUCCACACUUCAGAGAAAAGCUUAGCAUUUGGAAAGUGCAGUACUUAAUUCACACCUGUAUGUGAUGUACUGUACUGUGUUGUUGAAACUGUUUGCUGAUUGAAAUGUGCUCGAAUGUGCUUCCUGUGGUACCUGGUUGCCUUUCGACACUUUGCCCAGUUUGAGGUUCUCCACCAUCUUUUCGAUGUCAUCAGCCGCACUCUCGAAGAAUGAUCUCAACCCGGCCUUCACAAUCUCGGGUCCUGAUUUCAUCACCGUUCUGCCAGAGACAGGACAGAGAGAGAACCAGAGAAAGAACCAGAGACAUAUCCAGAGUCAGAACCAGAGUCAGAACAGAGAGAGAACCAGAGAUAGAACAAGAGACAGAAACCAGAACAGAGACAGAGAGAGAACCAGAGAUUGAACCAGAGACAGAACCAGAGACAGAGACAGAACCAGUUCAAUCAUAUCAGUUUUGCAAUAAAAUAAAGAGUAAUGAAAACUGCAUAUGCUGCUAAUAAUAAUAAGAAGAAGAUGACUAGCUCCUGCAAUUACUGUACAUACAACGAUCCCACAAAGAAAAGUGAAGACUCCAUAUGAGAUCAUACGUGUCAAAGACUUAUAAUGGGUUAAAUACAGAAAUAAAAUGCUAUGAUUCUUUAGAAAUCACAUUUAGCGAGGCAUCAACUCUGGAACACACAAACACACAGCGCAUGUGCUCCUUUUCAUAACAUAAUGCCGUUCCACUUUAAGAUUUGGAUAGAAAGAGACCUGUAUGGACAUGGAUAUACAGUAGAACUGAUAAAUAAGAUGAAUUUAGAAAUGUAAAAAAGUAACCUUGCGUCGAGCGAGCGUGCGAGUAUGUGGAGACAGUUCACGAUAGCAGGGGCGUCCGUGCCUAAGACAGAAACACACAGAUGUGAAUCGAAAUAGCGUUUAAUAACCGGCAAAUUAAAGCUCUGAGUAGCGGACGUAGACUUCCGGACUUGGCUGGAGCAAAUAAACAGGAAAGACUUAGAGAUGCACAGCAGUAUCAGCGGUACAGAAAAGAACCGAAGAGAACCGAAGAGAGAGAGAAGGAUGUGUGCAGGCAUCUUACCGAAGAGAAAAACUCUGUGUCUCACCAGAGCAGACAUCUUACAGAAUAUACUGCAACGGUAAAGGAAAUGAAAAAGGCAGAAGAGUGGGAAAGAAUGAAUAAAGGAGAAAAAAGAAAAACAGAAAGCAUCAACGCAGAGGAAAGGUUUCAAAGACUGCAGACUAAAAAAAUAAAAUCAGCAGAAGAAUGAAAAGAAAGCUAACAUUCGUUUCUUUCACAAGUGUGUUUUUAAAAGCGUUUUUUUUUUUUUUUUUUUUAACUACCUGGCGAUCAUUUCUUUCUCCUUAUUCGAGGCGUGGCCGCCGCUGCCCAGGAUUUUAGCAGGAGUGGACAGGAAAUAGAGGCAGUGGUUUUUAAAAUACUGAUUUAUCAACGGCAAGAGGAUCUGAAGAGGACAGAAACAUGAGGCUUCGUAUAAAUAUAUUUGGUUUUCAGAGACUGAUUCUGAAACGUUAUUAAACAAGCUUAACCUUGGCGAAGAACUUGAUCUCCUGCUCAUGAGGUGAUUUCUCCACACGACCGCUGCUGACCACCGCCUCUGCACGCGCACACACACAAUAAUAAAGAUUAUAUGUAUAUACAUAUGAUUUGAUCAUUACUAUUGCACCCCUCUACUUAAACACACUAUCGGUUAAUGAUAAAAUACGUUACGAAAAACUAUUUUAUAUACAAUCUAACACUAUUAUUAUACUAUUGUGGAAAGCAGUAGAUACAUGCAGCAUAUACAGCAGUGG
ensembl:lncRNA